rnacentral:rRNA from 1 species
UACAGAGGGUGCAAGCGUUGUUCGGAAUUAUUGGGCGUAAAGCGUGCGCAGGCGGUUGUGCAAGACAGAUGUGAAAUCCCCGGGCUUAACCUGGGAACUGCAUUUGUGACUGCACAGCUGGAGUGCGGCAGAGGGGGAUGGAAUUCCGCGUGUAGCAGUGAAAUGCGUAGAUAUGCGGAGGAACACCGAUGGCGAAGGCAAUCCCCUGGGCCUGCACUGACGCUCAUGCACGAAAGCGUGGGGAGCAAACAGG